rnacentral:rRNA from 1 species
GAACCACUUCGGUGGGGAUUAGUGGCGAACGGGUGAGUAACACGUGGGCAAUCUGCCCUGCACUCUGGGACAAGCCCUGGAAACGGGGUCUAAUACCGGAUACGACCAUCUUGGGCAUCCUUGAUGGUGGAAAGCUCCGGCGGUGCAGGAUGAGCCCGCGGCCUAUCAGCUUGUUGGUGAGGUAAUGGCUCACCAAGGCGACGACGGGUAGCCGGCCUGAGAGGGCGACCGGCCACACUGGGACUGAGACACGGCCCAGACUCCUACGGGAGGCAGCAGUGGGGAAUAUUGCACAAUGGGCGAAAGCCUGAUGCAGCGACGCCGCGUGAGGGAUGACGGCCUUCGGGUUGUAAACCUCUUUCAGCAGGGAAGAAGCGAAAGUGACGGUACCUGCAGAAGAAGCGCCGGCUAACUACGUGCCAGCAGCCGCGGUAAUACGUAGGGCGCAAGCGUUGUCCGGAAUUAUUGGGCGUAAAGAGCUCGUAGGCGGCUUGUCACGUCGGUUGUGAAAGCCCGGGGCUUAACCCCGGGUCUGCAGUCGAUACGGGCAGGCUAGAGUUCGGUAGGGGAGAUCGGAAUUCCUGGUGUAGCGGUGAAAUGCGCAGAUAUCAGGAGGAACACCGGUGGCGAAGGCGGAUCUCUGGGCCGAUACUGACGCUGAGGAGCGAAAGCGUGGGGAGCGAACAGGAUUAGAUACCCUGGUAGUCCACGCCGUAAACGGUGGGCACUAGGUGUGGGCAACAUUCCACGUUGUCCGUGCCGCAGCUAACGCAUUAAGUGCCCCGCCU